GGGCGAUUAGCUCAGUUGGUAGAGCAGUUGACUUUUAAUCAAUUGGUCGCAGGUUCGAAUCCUGCACGACCCACCA
rnacentral:tRNA from 3 species